GACGCGGGUGCCUCCCAUCGUCGAGUCACCGGGAGCUGCGAGGUUAUGUUAAAAAUGACAGCUCCAGCUUGUCCACGUCAACAGCACUGAGCUACUUCAUCCGCAACCAUGGAAUCCGCCGCUCCGGACCCCUCGCUUUAUACCAUCAAAGCACUUUUCAUAUUGGACAGUGAUGACAACUGGCUGCUUGCAAAGUCCAGACCUCUGUGAAGCAGAGGUUUAGAACAUGCGUCGAGGCAUGGAAAUGAGUUGUAACAACAGCUGCGGCGCUGUGGAGAGCCGUGUCCGCUGGGAGAUGAUCCCAUCUGUCUCCGUUUCCCAGGAGGAACGUGGAGAAGCACUCCCUGGUGGAAAACCUGGAUGGUGUGUUCCUGGUGGUGGACGAGAUCGUGGACAGAGGUGUGAUUCUGGAGAGUGAUCCUCAGCGGUUCAUCCAGAAGGUGAAUUUCAGGGUAAGGUGAAGUUCUCUUUCCUCUCGGGACGGCUGUCCACACUCAGGUACUGAGCGCUGGUUCAAGUCACAAAGCUCCUAUUCACGUUCACUUUAAAGAAUACAGGCUGAUUUUUGCUUGAUCAGCAGCCGGGAACAAUUUCAGAAAUUUUUAUUUAACCCAUCGAAGCAGACUUUACAAAAAAAAAAACAAAAAAAAAAAACAGGACUUCUUACAAAGCUAUAAA